UUUUAAAUUUAGAGUUUGAUCCUGGCUCAGGACGAACGCUGGCGGCGUGCUUAACACAUGCAAGUCGAGCGAUGAAGCUUCCUUCGGGAAGUGGAUUAGCGGCGGACGGGUGAGUAACACGUGGGUAACCUGCCUCAAAGUGGGGGAUAGCCUUCCGAAAGGAAGAUUAAUACCGCAUAAUAUAAGAGAAUCGCAUGAUUUUUUUAUCAAAGAUUUAUUGCUUUGAGAUGGACCCGCGGCGCAUUAGCUAGUUGGUAAGGUAACGGCUUACCAAGGCAACGAUGCGUAGCCGACCUGAGAGGGUGAUCGGCCACAUUGGAACUGAGACACGGUCCAGACUCCUACG
rnacentral:rRNA from 1 species